UACGAAGGGGGCUAGCGUUGUUCGGAUUUACUGGGCGUAAAGCGCACGUAGGCGGAUCUUUAAGUCAGAGGUGAAAUCCCAAGGCUCAACCUUGGAACUGCCUUUGAUACUGGGGAUCUUGAGUCCGGGAGAGGUGAGUGGAACUGCGAGUGUAGAGGUGAAAUUCGUAGAUACUCGCAAGAACACCAGUGGCGAAGGCGGCUCACUGGUCCGGUACUGACGCUGAGGUGCGAAAGCGUGGGGAGCAAACAGG
rnacentral:rRNA from 1 species